rnacentral:lncRNA from 1 species
GUCACAGUUCUGGAGGUCGGAAGUCCAAAAUCAAGGUGUUGGCAGGGCCGCACAUCCUCCAAAGGAUCUAGAAGAGAAUCUGUCCUUGCCUGUUCCAGCUUCUGGCGGUUCCUGGAGUUUCCUGGUGUUCCGUGGCUCAUGGCAGCAUCACUCCAAUCUCCGCCUCUGUCUUCACACGGCCUUCUCGGCAUCUGUUCUCUUUUCUGUGUCUCUUGUAAGGACCCACAGUUGGAGUUAGGACCCACCUGGAUAAUACAGGAUCUUGAGAUCCUUCAGUGAAUUACAUCUGCAAAGACCCUUUUUACAAAUAAGGUCCACAUUCAGAGCAGGCAACAGGAUGUGGACACAGCUUUUUGGGAGUCACUGUUCAAUCCACCAUGAGACCCCUCCUGUGGCUGCCUUCCAUACUAGUGCCUCCUGCCAUCUUUACCCACCUACCCCUCGCCCUGUGAGCAGACAAAGCACCUUCUCAAACCACGCUGUUCUGGGGCUUUUGGUUCUGAAGGCCUUUGAAGCUGCAGCCUUUGGGGCUACUCCUCAAACCCUGAUCACAGGAUGAGACCUAGUGUUGGGGCAUCCCAGUCACCUACAUGCUUCUCAGAGCAGGUCUUAACAAUUUGUCUCCUUCAAGGGCUGUUUCUAGACUUGCCUCUUCAUCCAGCCUUCCCACCAGGCAUCACAGCCCGAGGCAUCCGGCCAAGACGGCUGGGGACCGAGUCUCUCAGCCAAACAGGAAUGGCGCCCACCAAGAUAUUAAGGCCAUGCAUUAGAAAGCACAGGCCCAGAAGGUAAUCAAAGUGAAGCUGACUGACAAGGGAUGAAGAGUGAAAAUUACAAUUUGAGAACCUCUUUGGUCAGCUAUUGGGAAAGAAUGAACUCUCCCCUGUGCAAACCACCUCACGAUUUUUCAGGAAGCCAGGGCGAGGAACUUGGAUUCCAAAGCCUAGAGAAAGAUGGCUGACUCGGGGCGGCUGCGCUGCGUUCUCUCCCCUGUGAACUUUGCUCACGUUUUGGACUGGGCAGCAUCUCGCGGUCUGCUCGAGCGGGCUGCCCUUCUGCUUAGAGCUGGACAGUGUUCUCGUCUGCUAGAACGGGAUUUUAUGGUCAACAGGACAUUGCCAUGUGUCACUGCAACACUUAGAGGGUAGUUUGAACUGGG